GCGUAAGUAGUAUAGCGGUAGAAUACUUGCCUUCCAAGCAAGUGGCCGGGGUUCGACUCCCCGCUUACGCA